rnacentral:rRNA from 1 species
AGGGUCUGAGAGGUUAUCCCCCCACACUGUUAUUGAGACACGGACCAGAUUCUUACGGGAGGCAGCAGUAAGGAAUAUUGUUCAAUGGGCGCAAGCUUGAACCAGCCAUGCCGCGUGCAGGAAGACGGCCCUAUGGGUUGUAAACUGCUUUUGUCAGGGAAUAAACCUAUCUACGUGUAGAUAGCUGAAGUACCUGAAGAAUAAGCAUCGGCU